rnacentral:lncRNA from 1 species
AUCUCUAUCUGGGGAUCCUUCCUUUUGGAGCCCUUCUGCAAGCCCAGGACACGGCCCCCUUUAGAUGCUGAAAGGCUGCUCUCAGGUCUCUCUGGAGCCUCCUCUUCUCCAGACAGAACUGCCCCAGCUCUCAGCCUGUCCUUGUAGGAGAGAUGUUCCAUCCCAUGGAUCAUUUUGUGGCCCUCCUCUGGACAUGCUCCAACAUGUCCAUGUCUCUCCUGUACUGAGGACUCCACAUCUGGAUGCAGUAUUCCAGGAAACACUCAGAAGCCAGAAGGAAGACUCUGAGCUCUGGAGUAUUGAUGUGCAGACUCUUUCCUGUCUGUGACCCUGAACUACAUGACUGCUGAGAUGUGCCCUGCUCCUUCUGGAAGUAUCUGACAUGGAAAUGGCAGCAGCUGCUGCUUCCAUUUCAUCAGAAGUUAGAUCUGAGAACAGUAAUUUGUGGAGGCUUUUUCUCUAGUUUUUUUUCUUUAGUUAAAGAGCCUCAUGAUUCUGUCACACCACCUGACUGUGGGCUUAAUAAUGGGCCAAUGAUGCUGCAAAGCUGUCAAAUCUAGAACAGGCCUUGGAACAUCACUUCUCUUCAACCCUCACACUGGGAAUCUGCACCACUGGUUAGUAUCUGUGUGGUGUAUUUGGACCUUGUUCAUAAACUAUACACCACGUACAGGUACUGUGCACUAUAGGAAGUAAUUUAGCGCACAGUAGGGAAAACAAAUGCAAAUACUAGACUAAAAUUCCUGAAGAAAGUAUUGGCCAUUUGUUCUACACCCCAUUGAAACCCCAGAAGCAUCACGAGUAUCUCCACUUUUGCAGCCUCAGCAGUACUCCUGUUUGGCAUCAUCCCUUUGGCAUCUGGUCAGCUUCCACGCAGCAGGGUUGGCCAAAAUGGAGGUCUCUCUGGAAAUACCACUCUCCCUUAUUUAGGGCACUAUGACUUUGUAAAAAAAGGUUUUACAUUAAGAAAACAAAAAUAGUCACCGUAGAGUUGCUGUUGUGAACAGAGAACAGAGAAGAAUGAAACUGAGAGUCCAUUGCAUGGCUGUUAGAUCAGAGUGCCUUGCAUCUGUGGCUCUUUCAGAUCACAUUACUCUUAUAGGCUCGCUGAAACAUUUUUAAAUGAAUUUCCAGUAUACAAAUGCUGUCUCCUUACCACUCAGAAAGAUUGGAAAAAGUAAAAAAGAAAUUUGACAUCCUUUUGUUUUUCAGAGGUAAAAAUUCCUCUCUUUCAUUACAGUAUAAAAGAUACAAGGAUAUAACAAUGUGGCAUUAUACUGAGGCACACAUGAUGAUAAAAUAUGGCUUGAAAAAGGAACAUGCAUUGAAUAUUUCUGUAUGAGUACAGAAGAAACUAGGGUGUUUGUAUCCUUUCCCUGAUACAAAGACCUCUGCUGAGGCUUGGUCUCAUUCCCUUUACUGUAAAUUACUCACAUCUUUUUGCUGUAUCUCUUGCUCGGGAAAAACUAAGCAGGAGGCUUGCUUUGGUGUACGUUCCAGU